UCAUCAUCAGGAUAAACUAGCUACGUUAUAUAUCAAAAGCGGUAUUUAUAUGAAGAAAUAUGAUACAAUAGUAGGUUGAUUAUUAACGAAUUAAUGAAAUAUGAUUAGUUCUUUAGAAGCUUUAAGUCCAUGAUUAAGUUCAGGUUUAUAUCUUUGAAUAGCGAGGGAUUAUUGAUAUAGUAAAAGGGACCAAUGGUUAGAUUUAUCAAUUAUUUUAGUGUUGUUGAAAACAUGUUCAGCCAUUAUACUGGUUUGAUCAGACUUUGCGUCAUCGUCGGCAUAAAGUUCUAAAAGGGCUUUAAUAUGUUGAAACUGUUCGCAAGUAGAGAGGUGUUGAUGGAUUACAGAUUCAGUGUGAUAUGAAUGUUCCUUAGUUCUGGUGUAUAAGCAGCGAUCAGUUUUGCCGAUGUACCUACUAUUACAUCCAGGGCAAGUAAAUUCAUAAACUACAGAGCUUUGAUAAGUUUUCGGGGUUUUAUCUUUGCAUGACACAAAUACGUUGCUGUUAAUGGUUUUCCAGUUAAUAAUGAAUCGGCAUUUUAAUGAGGAGAGGGGUUAUUUUGUGUAUCAACGAACGAGUUAGUCUUUCACCAAAUUUGCCAAGAUAGGGUAGCUGUAACCAGAUAUUAGGAGUUUUGUUUGAUUCAGUCAUAUUUCAUCAUAUUUAUUUUUUUUUUUUAUUAUUUUUUUUUUUAUUUAUCAUAUUUAU